GGGUAUAGCUUAGUGGUAGAGCACAUGCUUAGCAUAUAUGAGGUCCUGGGUUCAGUCCCCAGCAUCUCCA
rnacentral:tRNA from 1 species